AGGGUGAACCAGGAGUUCCAGGACCGGAGGGUCUUCCAGGCCCUGCUGGACUACCAGGUGCUCGGGGACCCAAGGGCGAGAAAGGCAGUCCAGGAUCAAAGGGUGAUCGAGGUGCUGAUGGAUUUAGUACUGUAGGGCCACCUGGGCCUCCUGGACCUCCUGGACUUGCUGUGAAUUUACAGGAUCUGCUCCUGAAUGUGACCGAAAGUAUCUCCAACCUCACUGAGAUCAGAGGACCCCCAGGGC